rnacentral:rRNA from 1 species
GCUGGCGGCGUGCUUAACACAUGCAAGUCGAACGCACCUUCGGGUGAGUGGCGGACGGGUGAGUAACGCGUGAGAAUCUGCCCUCAGGAGGGGGAUAACGGCUGGAAACGGCCGCUAAUACCCCAUAUGCCGCGAGGUGAAACGAGUUUUCGCCUGAGGAUGAGCUCGCGUCUGAUUAGCUAGUUGGUGGGGUAAGAGCCUACCAAGGCAUCGAUCAGUAGCUGGUCUGAGAGGAUGAUCAGCCACACUGGGACUGAGACACGGCCCAGACUCCUACGGGAGGCAGCAGUGGGGAAUUUUCCGCAAUGGGCGAAAGCCUGACGGAGCAACGCCGCGUGAGGGAUGAAGGCCUCUGGGCUGUAAACCUCUUUUCUCAAGGAAGAAGAUCUGACGGUACUUGAGGAAUAAGCCACGGCUAAUUCCGUGCCAGCAGCCGCGGUAAUACGGGAGUGGCAAGCGUUAUCCGGAAUUAUUGGGCGUAAAGCGUCCGCAGGCGGUCUUGAAAGUCUGUUGUUAAAGCGUGGAGCUUAACUCCAUUUCAGCAAUGGAAACUAGAAGACUAGAGUGUGGUAGGGGCAGAGGGAAUUCCCGGUGUAGCGGUGAAAUGCGUAGAUAUCGGGAAGAACACCAGUGGCGAAGGCGCUCUGCUGGGCCAUAACUGACGCUCAUGGACGAAAGCCAGGGGAGCGAAAGGGAUUAGAUACCCCUGUAGUCCUGGCCGUAAACGAUGAACACUAGGUGUCGGGGGAAUCGACCCCCUCGGUGUCGUAGCCAACGCGUUAAGUGUUCCGCCUGGGGAGUACGCACGCAAGUGUGAAACUCAAAGGAAUUGACGGGGGCCCGCACAAGCGGUGGAGUAUGUGGUUUAAUUCGAUGCAACGCGAAGAACCUUACCAGGGUUUGACAUCCUGCGAAUCCCUUGGAAACGAGGGAGUGCCUUCGGGAGCGCAGAGACAGGUGGUGCAUGGCCGUCGUCAGCUCGUGUCGUGAGAUGUUGGGUUAAGUCCCGCAACGAGCGCAACCCACGUCUUUAGUUGCCAGCAUUCAGUUGGGCACUCUAGAGAGACCGCCGGUGAUAAACCGGAGGAAGGUGUGGAUGACGUCAAGUCAUCAUGCCCCUUACAUCCUGGGCUACACACGUACUACAAUGCUACGGACAAAGGGCAGCAAACUCGCGAGAGCUAGCAAAUCCCAUAAACCGUGGCUCAGUUCAGAUCGUAGGCUGCAACUCGCCUACGUGAAGGAGGAAUCGCUAGUAAUCGCAGGUCAGCAUACUGCGGUGAAUACGUUCCCGGGCCUUGUACACACCGCCCGUCACACCAUGGAAGUUGGCCACGCCCGAAGUCGUUACUCCAACCCUUGUGGAGGAGGACGCCGAAGGUGGGGCUGAUGACC